rnacentral:tRNA from 1 species
GGUUUGUGGCUCAGUGGUAGAGGGCUCACCUAGCACAUGGAAGGCCCUGAGUUUGAUCCUCAGCACCA